GGAGAGAUGGCCGAGUGGUCGAAGGCGCACGCCUGGAAAGUGUGUGUACUCCAAAAGGGUACCAAGGGUUCGAAUCCCUUUCUCUCCGCCA
rnacentral:tRNA from 1 species